UAGGGAAUCUUCCGCAAUGGACGAAAGUCUGACGGAGCAACGCCGCGUGAGUGAUGAAGGCCUUCGGGUCGUAAAACUCUGUUGUUAGGGAAGAACAAGUAUCGGAGUAACUGCCGGUACCUUGACGGUACCUAACAAGAAAGCCACGGCUAACUACGUGCCA
rnacentral:rRNA from 1 species